rnacentral:rRNA from 1 species
CAAUAGCGUAUAUUAAAGUUGUUGCAGUUAAAAAGCUCGUAGUUGGAUUUCGGGGCAGCCUGGCUGGUCCGCCGCAAGGCGAGUACUGGUCAGCCGCCCUUCCUCUCGAAAGCCCCGACUGCUCUUCGUUGCAGUGGUCGGGUAGUUCGGGACGUUUACUUUGAAAAAAUUAGAGUGUUCAAGGCAGGCCUACGCCUGAAUACAUUAGCAUGGAAUAAUGGAAGAGGACCUCGGUCCUACUUUGUUGGUUUCCAGGGCCGAAGUAAUGAUUAAGAGGGACAGUUGGGGGCAUUCGUAUUUAAUUGUCAGAGGUGAAAUUCUCGGAUUUAUGAAAGACGAACAACUGCGAAAGCAUUUGCCAAGGAUGUUUUCAUUAA